rnacentral:rRNA from 1 species
AGCCUGAUGCAGCGACGCCGCGUGGGGGAUGACGGUCUUCGGAUUGUAAACCCCUUUCAGUAGGGACGAAGCGCAAGUGACGGUACCUGCAGAAGAAGCACCGGCUAACUACGUGCCAGCAGCCGCGGUAAUACGUAGGGUGCGAGCGUUGUCCGGAAUUACUGGGCGUAAAGAGCUCGUAGGCGGUUUGUCACGUCGUCUGUGAAAUCCCUCGGCUUAACCGGGGGCGUGCAGGCGAUACGGGCAGACUUGAGUACUACAGGGGAGACUGGAAUUCCUGGUGUAGCGGUGAAAUGCGCAGAUAUCAGGAGGAACACCGGUGGCGAAGGCGGGUCUCUGGGUAGUAACUGACGCUGAGGAGCGAAAGCAUGGGUAGCGAACAGGAUUAGAUACCCUGGUAGUCCAUGCCGUAAACGGUGGGCGCGAGGUGUGGGGUCCUUCCACGGACUCCGUGCCGUAGCUAACGCAUUAAGCGCCCCGCCUGGG